UACGUAGGGUGCGAGCGUUGUCCGGAAUUAUUGGGCGUAAAGGGCUCGUAGGCGGUUUGUCACGUCGGGAGUGAAAACUCAGGGCUUAACCCUGAGCCUGCUUCCGAUACGGGCAGACUAGAGGUAUGCAGGGGAGAACGGAAUUCCUGGUGUAGCGGUGAAAUGCGCAGAUAUUAGGAGGAACACCGGUGGCGAAGGCGGCGCUCUGGGCUGGCACUGACACUGAGGAGCGAAAGCGUGGGGAGCGAACAGG
rnacentral:rRNA from 1 species